GAUAAACGCUGGCGGCGUGCAUAACACAUUCAAGUCGAACGGGAAUCGGAUGAUUGAGACUUCGGUCGAUUGAUUUCGAGGAUAGUGGCGGACGGGUGAGUAACGCGUGAGCAACCUGCCUUCAUGAGGGGGAUAACAGUGGGAAACGACUGCUAAUACCGCAUAACGUAUCGAGUGGGCAUCCACUUGAUACCAAAGGAGCAAUCCGCUGUAAGAUGGACUCGCGUCUGAUUAGAUAGUUGGUGAGGUAACGGCUCACCAAGUCGACGAUCAGUAGCCGGACUGAGAGGUUGAUCGGCCACAUUGGGACUGAGACACGGCCCAGACUCCUACGGGAGGCAGCAGUGGGGAAUAUUGGGCAAUAGGCGAAAGCCUGACCCAGCAACGCCGCGUGAAGGAUGACGGUCUUCGGAUUGUAAACUUCUUUAAUUGGGGAAGAACAAAAUGACCUACCCAAAGAAUAAGUCACGGCUAACUACGUG
rnacentral:rRNA from 1 species